GCUAUGUUUGUGUCAAAACCUCAUGCUUCUAUGCUAUGGUGGGGUUUAACUUGUAGUAGGGACUUAUUUCAACGAAGUUCUUAUAUGGAGGUUGGUAAUGGUCAUUUAAUUAAGUUUUUGGAAUGAUGUAUAUAGUUGGGUGAUUCUCCAUUAAUAGGUCAUGCUCUUAUUGCGGUUUCGGUUCAUCUAUAUCAAUUAAUGAUAACUCAAGUGUAGUAGAGGAUGUCUCGGUGUUGGAAUUUGAUCUCUCCUUAUCUUUCGACAUCUUUUUGCCUCCAAUUAAAAGCUGUGGAGGUGAGUCUCAUAUUUUAGAUCAUGAUCAGAUAGCGUGGAGAGGUACUUCUUCUGGUAAUUUCUUUGUGAUGUAUGCAGUUUUUAUGCAGAAAGACAUAGUUUUGAAUUAAUAAGAUAAAGUUUGGG
rnacentral:lncRNA from 1 species